UUACACACGAGCGAAGAAGAAGAACCGAUGGAUACGUGUUUUGAAUAUAACCUUCCUCUGCUAAAAACAACGUUCGAAUUGAGACAUGAUGAGAUUUCAGGAAGAAAUGUCCGGUACAAAAACGGUACGGUAUUAUUUUUUGGAUCGUAAAGGUUUUUUUAUUUCUGCUCCGGGGAGUUUUGAUGAAGCAAUGGAUACGAGCACACACACACACACACACACACACACACACACACACACACACACACACACACACACACACACACACACAACUCUAAACACCCAUUCAUACAUUUGUCUACCUAUACAACAAAGCAAAUUACUAUGUAUUGUUUAUAAACAUUUUUUUUUUCGACCAAUCGCAACCGUUUUCUAUUCAAGAUUUUUUUUUAAACAGCUGUAUAAAAUGUAAACCCGCAUUUUCGGAGUCGUGAUUUGAGGUGUAACAAGCUAAGAUGACGGGUAAGUUUUUAACUCAAGACGCAAAUCUUUUUUUUCUCUUUCUGGUUUAACAUCUUUAUUUUCAGACGCUAUUGUCAUAUCGGACGGCGAGUGGGAAGAAAUUCCUAUUGAGGAAUUAACUUGUAAAACACCGAUCCCUCUGGAUGAUUUGUCUAAAAUUAAUCGCGCGGUCGAGAAUCUGAAAAAGGAGGGGGUUCAACCUUACCCCGGAAGUGAUAACUUUUACCCAACCACGCCUCCAUCCACCAGCCGAACCGUCUUACAUCCGUAUCAGCCCAGCCAUACCGUCAGAUCACACGCGAAUGCGAACGUGAAAGCUGUUCGUUACAGGACCAUCACGCCACAGACGAUCCUCGAAGCUGAGCAAAGGCCGACGGCCUACGCACCCCCAAUAUCUCAGCCCCCACCACCACCUCCAACCCCUUCUCAUGCGCAGACGGAUGGUAACGA